AACUAGUUCUUUCCCAAAUCGAACCCUAGAGAGCCCUCCUCCCCCACCGUCGCCGCCGCCGACACUCCCUCUGCCCUCGACCGCGCCCUCCACCACCGACCCCUCUGCCCUCGAAUGCGCCUUCCACCAUCGACCCCCUCCGCUGAUCUGUGCGACCUCCACCCAUGUCGAUGACGCCAGUGCGUAGAGGUCAACCUCGCCUCCCUCCACACGCCUUUGGUUUCGCUCCCUUUGGCACCGCCACAAGGACUGGUUGACGGGGCUGGUGCGUCGAGGUCGACACCGGCUUGCUUCCCACCAUGUCUCCCGCCACCCUGACGACGAGCACGGUGUCUGCUCCACACUACCCUAGUACAACAUGGUGCUCAGAUCUGUCAUGGAGGAAACGCGAUGCAGGUGUGAUUUUUCCAUACAAAGAAGCUCUCCUUUUCUGCUUGAUGAAAACUCACAAGAUGCUAUCGCGUUAUCUUCUAUCUUCUCCUUGCUGCACAUUUUCCCUACCUUCCACCGAGUCAGUACUUGGAUCCAAGUCUUUCUUAUUGCUACUUAUUUUUAUUUUGCUACUAAAUUGAUGCAGGUGCUACCAGUGAAAGGAUUGGAGAUUGGUUCUAGUAGUUGUAGGUUCGUUUGGAAUUCAUAAUGCUCAUGAUUUGCAAAGCCUAUCAGCCAGGUUAUUGUACCCUUACUCUUGUAUUUCAUUUUCUUAUCUUAAUAUGCAUGUAUAUGUGCCUAUGAUUUGUAAAAUGUAAUGUUCUUCUAUCCAACCAAUUUUAGUGACAUGGACGGGUCUUUGUUUAUUCAGGUUCAGACAUUGCACAACUGAAGGAAAGUGUUUCACAGCUUGAGAAAGUUCACUCACUAAUGGCUGACUGUAUACAACUCUAGAAAGUUUCUUGUGUUAGCAUCUACAAGAACUAAAUUAUUGACAUGAGUUGAUAUUGAAAAUUGCUCUACAAAAUUAACUACUUUUCCUUCCCUGAUUUAUCAUCUACCAAAUUGUUACACUAUCAAAGCAGGCAGUUCAAUGGUGCCCUAUCUGAAUACUCAACCUGCAUGAAACAUUGCACUGGGCAGAAAAAUAAUUGUAGAAAGGAAUGCCAUAAGUGGCUGGCACUGCCAUAAGGCUAUCACACACUGCACUAAAUUGGGCUUGUUGGACCAUGCAGGGCAUCUAUGCCAGAUAAUAGAAGCCCUGCAAGGCCCAACACGAAUAUAGUUUGCUUGUGAUGAGGGGUCGAUUUUCUGAGUUGCAGCCUCAAUAAUUUGCAUCUUAUGAUCCAGAAAAGGAAAGAAAAACAAUCUGUUUCUUACCGUGUUGGUUGGUUGGCUACACGCACAUUUCCUAUGAACCAUGCCUUAAUAAUCAAGCCACCACUGUAAUCUCACAUCGUGAUCAGUCCUCCCUUGAUGAAGUAGCAUACCGACAAGUUACAUAAUUUUCUGAAGUUCCUGGAAUAUUUUUUUGAUGCUGCCUUCUUCGAUACACUUUAUUCUAAAUCAUUGGCUGAUCUAAGCUCUUUUUUCACCAGAACACGUUGAUGCAUAGCAUUAAAUGCUUGCCUAAAAGAGUCCACAGCUCCUUGCGCUCAAGAAUUAUAUUGUCUGACCUCCUAAGGGUCGUUGAGGAGUUGGCAUAUAAUAGCAGCGACACAAACACUUAAAAAGGUAUUCCUUUCACAUGUAGGAAAAAUAAUUUCUAUAUGUUAUGGAUGAGGUAUGGGGGGCAGUUUAUCUUGGUAGUUAAGUCUUGGAUUUAGUAUUUUCCUUUCGGAUACAUGCUUGUUGCUAUUUCAGAACAUUGAAACUUUAUUUUGAAUUUUGUUUCCUAUAUGCUUCAUGUAAAUGAAACUGCAGUAAAGAUACGAACUAUGCUUGUCCUGAAUGUGCUUAUCCUUUUUAUGCAUAUAAUUAGUGGAACCUUUGACAUGUAUGGAACUAAGCUUUUGCUUGUCUUGUGUACUCUAAAGCUUAGUCUUUUGUUAUUGGGCCAGUACUUGAAACAGUGUCUUGGUCUGCCAGUCGUAGAGUCAUUUAUGAAUAGCAUAGGUGUUGCCUUCAUUUGUGUUCCUAUGCAUAGUCCAAUACUUCUUUUUCCUUAAUCUAAUACUCCUUUUUCCUUAAGACAAGCAAAAUGGAAUCACAUCCUCGAUUAUCUCUAUGGUCCUGCAUCAUCUUUCAUAGACUAAUUAAGUUAUAACCGACUUGCAUUGUUUAGGGGAAAUGUACCUUUCCAUGUGUAAAGUGGUUAGACCUGGCAUUACUGUUCAAUAUUUUGUACUCAACAGGAAUCUUGCUAUAGAUACACACUAGAAGUCUAAAAUCAAUACUAGUGGAAAUAGGUGUUCUGUCAACUACGCGUCCAUUUUGUUGCAUGUCUCGAGCCACUCAAUUUGUGAUUAAAUAGGUGUUGUGCAUAUAAUUUUGCCAACUGAUUGACCAUGUAAGACUGGAAACAGCACCAUAUUUGUGACAUCUAACUUUUCUUUAUGACAUCCAACUUGUUCUAUUUCUUGCAGAAAGUGCUAGUACAUUGGAUAAGAACAUUGGCACAUGUGACUGGGAGCCCAAAAGACUAGUAAGUAUGUUGUAAACCACUUCAACAUAACACCAAACAUUUUGGUUUCUAUACUACUGUCAUGUUCGUGCUGGAAAAAUGUUUGAAUUUUGCUGUUUUCCAUGGGAUGAAACUAUUUCAUAUCUUGAACUACAUUCUUUGUGUGCUUAUACCAAAAUACAAAAUCCGAUGAUGUCAAUAAUUCAUACAAGUUGUGGAUGUCACUUCCUUAGAUCACUUCCUAUUUUGUCUUAUGUGCAGUUUCCUGGACGGUGUUCUAUGGAAUCUUCACAUACAUGAAACUAAAAUUUAUAUCAUAGGUAAGCAUACGAUGUAAUUGUGGUGAACUAGAUGUGCAUCAUUUAUGUGUCAAUGCAUGAAACUGUUGACAUUUUUUAUUUUUCCAUUAAAUUGAAUAUUCAGUUGAUGCCUUGAAAGGAAAUUUGAUUAGAAAUUCUCUUGAUGUUGUAGACGUAUGUCUUAUAGAACAUGAAUGGUGCACUCAAUAAACUCUUUCGAGUUUUGUAAAUCAAUGUAAUGCGGAUAAUGUUUUAUUAUACAUGUGUUUUUCAAAUUUUCUCUUACUGUCCAGGUUGGAAAUGUUCCUGAAGACGGGUUAAGAUACCUUGUCGUAACCAUAUGCUUUGAGCUCACCUAGAAGACCUUACAAGCUUUACUCUUUGUUCUUGUUCCAUUCUGUACAACUUGGACGCCUUGAAACUGCAAAUACUAAAUUAUGAUGUAGAUCUUCACAUGUAAACAGUGAAUUGCAUAUGUUUGUAACAUUGUAAAUGUUUGAUGAACAGAAUUUAUAAUAUGAAUGUGAAGUACUUGUGCAGAUUCCUUCUGGUUUAUUUCAAUGGAUGCCUCGUCAUUGUGUAUCUAAAUGUAAAAUAAAUGAAGAAAUGCAAUACUAAAGUGUAAUAAUGAUAUAGAUUGGGAAAUAGGAUACCACUGGCAUAUUAUCUGCCGGGAAAACUAUUAACUGCCGGGAGAACAAGUCUGCCGAGAGAAUAGAAACUGCCAAGAGAAAUUGGAACAUGAGGGCAUACAAACUGCCGGGAGAUCUUUAUCUGUCGGGAAUUAUAAUCCCCGACAGUCAUUCUUCUGGCAGUUCUGUCUGCCGGGAGAAAACCAUUCCCGGCAGUUUGCCUGCCGUUCUAAGUCACUUCUCCCGGCAGUUUUUCUAUCCUUGCGUCAGUGUUGUGGUGUAGAGUCGUCAACCUCGCCUCCGUCCACACGCCUCUGGUUUCGCUCCCUUCGGCACCGCCACAAGGACUGGUUGACGGGGCCGGUGCGUCAAGGUGGACGUCUCCUUGCUUCCCACCACGUCUCCCGCCACCCUGACGACGAGCGCAGUGUCUGCUCCCCACUACGCUACUACAACAUGGUGUUCAGAUCUGUCAUGGAGGAAAUGCGAUGCAGGUGUGAUUUUUCAUUACAAAGAAGCUCUCCUUUUCUGCUUGAUAAAAACUCACAAGAUGCUGUCGCUUUAUCUUCUCCUUGCUGUACAUUUUCCCUACCUUCCACCGAGUCACUACUUGGCUCCAAGUCUUUCUUAUUGCUACUUAUUUUUAUUUUGCUACUAAAUUGAUGCAGGUGCUACCAGCGAAAGGAUUGGAGAUUGGUUCUAGUAGUUGUAGGUUUGUUUGGAAUUCAUAAUGCUCAUGAUUUGCAAAAGCUAUCAGCCAGGUUAUUGUACCCUUACUCUUGUAUUUCAUUUUCUUAUCUUAAUAUGCAUGUAUAUGUGCCUAUGAUUUGUAAAAUGUAAUGUUCUUCUAUCCAGCCAAUUUUAGUGACAUGGACGGGUCUUUGUUUAUUCAGGUUCAGCCAUUGCACAACUGAAGGCAAGUGUUUCACAGCUUGAGAAAGUUUACUCACUAAUGGCUGACUGUAUACAACUCUAGAAAGUUUCUUGUGCUAGCAUCUACAAGAACUAAAUUAUUGACAUGAGUUGAUAUUGAAAAUUGCUCUACAAAAUUAACUACUUUUCCUUCCCUGAUUUAUCAUCUACCAAAUUGUUUCAUUGCAGUUCAGUGGUGCCCUAUCUGAAUACUCAACCUGCAUGAAACAUUGCACUGGGCAGAAAAUAAUUUUAGAAAGGAAUGCCGUAAGUUGCUGGCAUUGCCAUCAGGCUAUCACACACUGCACUAAAUUGGGCUUGUUGGACCAUGCAGGGUCUGCACCAGAUAAUAGAAGCCCUGCAAGGGCCAACACGGCUAUGGUUUGCUUGUGAGGAGGGGUCGAUUUUCUGAGUUGCAGCCUAAAUAAUUUGUAUCUUAUGAUCCAGAAAAGGAAAGAAAAACAAUCUGUUUCUUACCGUGUUGGUUGGUUGGCUACACGCACAUUUCCUAUGAACCAUGCCUUAAUAGUCGAGCCGCCACUAUAAUCGCACAUCGUGAUCAGUCCUCCCUCGAUGAAGUAGCAUACCGACAAGUUAGUUAAUUUUCUGAAGUUCCUAGAAUAAUUUUUUGACGCUGCCUGCUUCGAUGCACUUUAUUCUUAACCAUUGGCUGAUCUAAGCUCUUUUUUUACCAGAACACGUCGAUGCAUAGCAUUAAACGCUUGCCCAAAAGAGUCCACAGCUCCCUGCGCUCAAGCAUUAUAUUGUCUGACCUCCUGAGGGUCGUUGAGGAGUUGGCAUAUAAUAGCUGCGACACAAAUGCUUAAAAGGUAUUCCUUUCACAUGUAGGAAAAAUAAUUUCUAUAUGUUAUGGAUGAGGUAUGGGGGGCAGUUUAUCUUGGUAGUUAAGUCUUGGAUUUAGUAUUUUCCUUUCAGAGACAUGCUUGUUGCUAUUUCAGAACAUUGAAACUUUAUUUCGAAUUUAGUUUCCUAUAUGCUUCAUGCAAAUGAAACUGCAAUAAAGAUACGAACUAUGCUUGUCCUGAAUGUGCUUAGCCUUUUUAUGCGUACAAUUAGUGGAACCUUUGACAUGUCCGGAACUAAGCUUUUGCAUGUCUUGUGUAUUCUAAAGCUUAGUCUUUUGUUAUUGGGCCAUUACUUGAAACAUUGUCUUGGUCUGCCAGUCGUAGAAUCAUUUAUGAGUAGCAUAGGUGUUGCCUUCAAUUGUAUUCCUAUGCAUAGUCCAAUACUUCUUUUUCCUUGAUCUAAUACUCCUUUUUCCUUAAGACAAGCAAAAUGGAUUCACAUCCUCGAUUAUCUCUAUGGUCCUACAUCAUCUUUCAUAGACUAAUUAAGUUAUAACCGGCUGGCAUUGUUUAGGAGAAAUGUACCUUUCCAUGUGCAAAGUGGUUAGACUUGGCAUUACUGUUCAAUAUUUUGUACUCAACAGGAAUCUUGCUAUAGAUACACACUAGUAGUCUAAAAUCAAUACUAGUAGAAACAUGUGUUCUGUCAACUACUCGCCCAUUUUGUUGCAUGUCUCGAGCCACUCAAUUUGUGAUUAAAUAGGUGUUCAGCAUAUAAUUUUGCCAACUGAUUGACCAUUUAAGACUGGAAACAGCACCAUAUUUGUGACAUCUAACUUUUCUUUAUGACAUCCAACUUGUUCUAUUUCUUGCAGAAAGUGCUAGUACAUUGGAUAAGAACAUUGGCACAUGUGACUGGGAGCCCAAAAGACUAGUAAGUAUGUUGUAAACCACUUCAACAUAACACCAAACAUUUUGGUUUCUAUACUACUGUC
rnacentral:lncRNA from 1 species